UGCAGUCGAGCGACAGACCAGGAUCUUGCUCCUCUGAUGUUAGCGGCGGAGGGGUGAGUAACACGUGGAUAACCUACCUAUAAGACUGGGAUAACUUCGGGAAACCGGAGCUAAUACCGGAUAACAUGUUGAACCGCAGGGUUCAACAGUGAAAGACGGUCUUGCUGUCACUUAUAGAUGGAUCCGCGCCGCAUUAGCUAGUUGGUAAGGUAACGGCUUACCAAGGCAACGAUGCGUAGCCGACCUGAGAGGGUGAUCGGCCACACUGGAACUGAGACACGGUCCAGACUCCUACGGGAGGCAGCAUUAGGGAAUCUUCCGCAAUGGGCGAAAGCCUGACGGAGCAACGCCGCGUGAGUGAAGAAGGUCUUCGGAUCGUAAAACUCUGUUAUUAGGGAAGAACAAAUGUGUAAGUAACUAUGCACGUCUUGACGGUACCUAAUCAGAAAGCCACGGUAAACUACGUGCCA
rnacentral:rRNA from 1 species